AGUCGAGCGAAAUAUUGGGAGCUUGCUUUUGAUUAUUUUAGCGGCGGACGGGUGAGUAACGUGUGGGUAACCUGCCUUUUACUGGGGAAUAAUCACUGGAAACGGUGACUAAUACCGCAUACGGUUCUUGGAAGGCAUCUUCUAGGAAAGAAAGGAUUUAUUCGGUAAAAGAUGGGCCCGCAUCUGAUUAGCUAGUUGGUGAGAUAACAGCCCACCAAGGCGACGAUCAGUAGCCGACCUGAGAGGGUGACCGGCCACAUUGGGACUGAGACACGGCCCAAACUCCUACGGGAGGCAGCAGUGGGGAAUAUUGCACAAUGGGCGAAAGCCUGAUGCAGCAACGCCGCGUGAAGGAAGACGGUUUUCGGAUUGUAAACUUCUAUCAAUAGGGAAGAAAAAAAUGACGGUACCUAAAUAAGAAGCCCCGGCUAACUACGUGCCAGCAGCCGCGGUAAUACGUAGGGGGCAAGCGUUAUCCGGAAUUACUGGGUGUAAAGGGAGAGUAGGCGGCAAGGUAAGCGAUAUGUGAAAGCCUUAGGCUUAACCUGAGGAUUGCAUAACGAACUAUCUAGCUAGAGUACAGGAGAGGAAAGCGGAAUUCUUAGUGUAGCGGUGAAAUGCGUAGAUAUUAGGAAGAACACCAGUGGCGAAGGCGGCUUUCUGGACUGAAACUGACGCUGAGGCUCGAAAGCGUGGGGAGCGAACAGGAUUAGAUACCCUGGUAGUCCACGCUGUAAACGAUGAGUGCUAGGUGUCGGGGAGGAAUCCUCGGUGCCG
rnacentral:rRNA from 1 species